ACCUGGGUGGCUCAGUUGGUUAAGCCUCUGACUUCAGCUCAGGUCAUGAUUUCCCGGUUCGUGGGUUCGAGCCCCACAUCGGGCU
rnacentral:tRNA from 1 species